rnacentral:tRNA from 7 species
GUCCCCGUCGUCUAGCCCGGCCUAGGACACCGCCCUUUCACGGCGAUAACACGGGUUCGAAUCCCGUCGGGGACGCCA